CCGGCCCUCGAGGCCUGGAGUUUGACACCCCUGCAAACAUGGUGAAAAAGUCCAUUUCAGUGACUUGAAUAAGAAGAGGUGUGGCAUGAAAACAGAUACCAGAUAUUGCCUGUGUUGGUACACCUCAACUUUGAGCCCUAAAAUUAAAAAGGAUUUUUUUUAAUCAUCCAUUCAACAUGAAUGGGGGACAAAACCAUUUUAAGUGCCAUUCUCCAAAUUCGCUUCUUAAUGCCUGAAAUUUGAUCGGAAUUUGGCACUUCUGCUUUCCCAUCUAAUAUAAGCUGCUAACAUUAGCAAUUUCAGCUAACUAGCGUAGGCCAAGCACUGGCGCAUCAUAAACUAACAUUAACUAACAUUUUGUUGAGUUACAGGUUCAAUUUGAGAAAGCAAAGGACACACACACACAGUGUACGCAGUUUUUUAUUUGAUUUCAGAGUAUACAAUUUAAUUUAUUUUGAAAUAUACUACUCUAAUAUUCUCACCCGAUUUACUCUUUCCCCCCAGUUAAAACCUUUUCUCUGCAGGAGACCCAGGGAUCAAAUCUGUGUUUCACUUCACAUAAACACACUGUCAGGCCUCCUGGAUAUUUACUGUUGUCUUGGUGAGCUGUGGCCCAUUGAAGAAGAGUUUGUUUACUGAGAGGUCGCCAUGACGACACAGUCACAUCUUGACAUCUCUGUAUGGUUGACAAAAAGCAGGGAGCCAGAGACGGACAGAGAAAGACCCAGAAGAAACCGGACGCCCACUGACCCCAAGAAAGCUGAAGAUCUGAGGCCACAUGUCCUGAUGACAAACAUGUGUCCACUCCAGGGAAGCCAAGGGAAAGGGAGGUCCCAGACGUCUUGAUGCAUGCUAAAUCAUCCAGACCUCUACCCACCACCAGUCUGCAGGUAUUUCGAAGGUUGUGAAGCGGAGUGAAAUUAACGGAUCCUGUGUGGUUACCAUAAAACCGAGCUGGUCUCCUGUGUGGUUGAUCUGCAGCAGAAUGAACAGCGCAGCUGCAUAUUCCCCUCUCAUGCCCACCUCAGCCAACACUUUCAGCAGUGUCCCAUUCUAUGAAGGCAAUGUGUCUGCAGGAGCUAUGUACCCACCUGUCAUGGCCCCCCAAGCCAACAUGUUUGGAAAUGUCCCAGGCUAUGAAGGCACUGUGCCAGGAGGAGGAGGUUUCCUGCCCCCUCCCAUGCCCAUGGAGCCGGUAGCCCCACCCCAACCCGGCCCUGAAAAUCCUGAAUGGAGCAUCCCCUCUCUGUCUGAGGAUGAGGCUCGUACGGCAUUCAAGGAAUUUGUGUCGUCUCAUUGCUGCUACGGUGACGCUCCGGUCACUCAGGGAGUCAUCACCUCCAUGGAGCCAUUCAACACCUUUAGAUAUCGUCUGGAGACAUUCACUGAGUCCAGGUCAACUGAGUGGGCCCACAAACCACAUGAAGGUGAGCCUGCUGACUUUUACGCCCAGCCCGCUCCACGACCAUGGGAGGUCCAGGCCACACCCCCCAAACUUUUCAGUGACCAUACAGAGAAGGUCCGGGUGCCCUACACGUCCUCCGUCAAGGAAUGCCACACAUGCCAUGCAGCAGGUACUGAGCAAUGCAGGGAGUGCAGUGGAAGUGGAAAAAAAACUUGCCCAGUGUGUAAUGGUGCGGCAAAGUCCGAUCCAGCCUGCACUCACUGUAAUGGCACAGGCAAAGACAGGUGUACAAAGUGUGAUGGUAGGGGGAAAAAGCAAUGUGAAACCUGUAAAGGAAAACGUCAACUGCUGACCUACAUUGAGCUAAAAGUGGAGUGGAAAAACCAUGUGGAAGCUCAUCUGGUGGAGCAGAGCUGUGGUCUGAAGAGUGAUAAGCUAAGCUCAGUGAAAGGGAAGGAGCUGUUCAAGAACAGCCAGAACCUGGCCUACCCACUGCUUGGGUUUCCAAACCCAGCAGUCUCUCAGGCCUCUGAGCGUCUGAUCAAAGAACAUCAAACUAAGAAUGGCCAAACCUCCAGGAUUCUGCAGCAGAGGCAGACAGUCGAGCUGAUCCCCAUCACUCAGGUGAACUACAAGUGGAAAGACAAGAGCUACGUGUACUACGUGUACGGCAACGAGCGCAAAGUCAGUGCUGACGACUACCCAGAGACCUGCUGCUGCGUCAUCCUGUAGACUCACAAAUACACACAGCUGAAAGCAAUUAAACAUGUACUCAUUCUUCUCUUUUUUCUAACAUCAGCCUUCCUUUUUCCAUAAUGAUGAUUUCAUUUAUUAGGGUAAGAAAAGCAAUCCAACCAUACCUGUGUUAAAAAUAAUAGAAUGUAAUGUUCUGUUCAGCAUUUUAUUAAAAUAAAAAAAAUAAAGAUAAAAACACUAUACUGACAGUUAAAGUUGGUGCUGGUAGUGUCACAUCAUGAACAAUUUACUGUAAUUGAUGGAAACAUGAAUUCUGCUCUCUACCAUAAAAUUCAGAAGCAGAAUGUCCAGCCAUCACUUUGCGUUGUGAAGCUCAAGCACACUUGGCUUAUGCAGCAGGACAAUGUCUGAAAUACGAUAGAGUCCACCUCUGACUGGUAAAAAAAAAAAAUAGAUAAAGAACAAAAAGUGAAGGUUUUAGAGUGACCUAGGAAAAGUUUGGACUUAUAUCAGAUUGCAAUUUUUGCCGUGGCUGAAUUUAAACAAUUCUACAAAUAAGAGCGGGCUAUUAUUCCUCUACAUCGAUAUGAAAGAGUCAUGGCCAGUUAUCACAAAUGUCUGACUGCAGUUUUUGCUGCCAAGGGUGGCAGAACCUCUUAUUAAGUUUAGGUUUAGCGGCAACUGCUUUUUACCCCUUAAGCGUAGAAGGCUGAUGGGGUGUCGUUGUCACUCCACCAGCCAGGCAUGUGGUCGGGUGGUGUGGACACCCAAGUUUGUGAAUGCAAUAACUCAAGAACAAGGCACUGUAAUAUCUUGAAAAUCGCAAUUCUUCAUUAAUCCCUGAGGAAGUUAUAUAAACACCUGCACCACCAGGAAUUGAACCCAGGGCACAAGAGUGGUAACCUUGUAUUAUGCCACUACACAAGCAAAAUAAGCUCGGCCUGACACCAUACCGUGCAUCUACUAGGAAACUGAGGGUUAGCACUGGCGGCUGCCAGUAUUUUUCACGUAGUAUCAGGUAGGUUUGGUUAACAUUUUUCCCUUUAUAAAUGAAAUCAUCAAUUAAAAAGUGUAUUUUGUGUUUUCUCUGGUUAUCUUUGUGUAGAAUUAAAAUUUGUUUGAUUUGAAACAUUAAAGUAUGACACAUAUGUUAAGAAGUAAGAAAUCAGGAAGGGGGCAAAUACUUUUUCACAACACUCUAAGUGGUCAAGCUAAAGGAAUAAUUGUGAUAUUUAACAUCUUAUAAUCCUUCAUUUAGAGCUACUGUAUCCAUACAACCCAGUCUCAUAGGAAAACAUAUAACAGACACGCCGGUCCACUGCAUCCAUUUCACACUUUGCUUCUCCAAACAGUGAAACGGACAGGCAUGCAGAAGUUGCAUCACCAGCAGGGGUAGCUAAUAUAUUAAAGCCACAAAGUCAGUAGUGAACAAAAAACGUAUGAUGUACAUUCCAGUGUCCUUAAUCACCAGAAAUGAUUAAGCAGGGCAGAUAAUAAUAUAUAUUUAUAUAUGUAAAUAGGUUAUUAAUGUCUGUUUAAACGCUUUCCUGUGAUUAUUUUCAUGUUGGCUUGAAAUAAAAUAUCUCCCUCCGCUGUUACUGCAACUUACUGCAAGUUCUGUCAUACUUGUCAUACUUUGGAGAUAUCAGAUGAAGAUGAUUCAAAUUUUUACAGGGACUUAAGGACAUUUUAAUUUUUUUAUAUAAUAGAGAAUUAAGAAUAUAAUAUGUAACUUCACACGAUAUUUAUAGCAAGUCGCUUUAAAAACACUGCAGCACUUUGUGAAGGUGGCUACAUUUGGGCUGGGUUUAUUUGUUUUCACAUUUACAAUAACAGGAAAUGUUUACUGUUGGUGAUUUUUGUAAUAUAAUGAUGUUGCCAAUCAAACUACUAGCCUGUAGUUACCAAUUGCUGUACACUUACUUACUCUUCCUUACUGCCCACUUAAUUUCACUUCCUGUGGAAGGUUUUUGCUAUGCUCUGAAGGCAAAAACCAGCCUCGUGUGCCACUAACUGAAGGUGUUUCUGUGUUACCGAAGAGUUUACUCCAAACAUGUGCCAGUAUGUGCCACUAUAGCGUCUUCAGUAUUACAAGAAAACAUCAUAUUUCAUAUCAUAACCUUUUAUCUAUCUAAAACUUUCAAAAACAAUGACGUGCUGCUUUCUGUAUGUGUGCCUUCAACUUUAAACAAUGUGUGAUUAAAUGUUUCCUUUAGAAAAAAAUCUGACUAAUCACAGUUGAAAGGUGAAAUAAAAACAUGAGAUGAUUGCAUUAGCCUGUGUUAACCUCUUAAUAUGUACCUUAUGUGUUCCAUUUAAUAUACUAUCUACAGCCCUGUUCUCUUUUGCUGCUUAUGUGAUUCUGACAUGAAAGUGCUUGGUUUAGGAUCACAGAAUAGUAAAAUGUUUUGCCAGCAGAAAAACAG